AGUCGUGCGGCAGCGGGCCUCUCACUAUGGUUUCUAGUUUGUUUGAAAUUAGAAGUUGUAGUGAGAGGUGCCGGCGAGCGGCGUAAGGGAGAGUAACGCGUGGUUAUGUGCCCUUGGGACCGGGAUAGCGUUGGGAAACUGGCGGUAAUACCGGAUAAUAUCUCUGGAUCAAAUGGUGAGAUUCCGCCCAAGGAUCAGACCGCGUUCUAUUAGCUUGUUGGCGGGGUAAUGGCCCACCAAGGCUGAGAUGGAUACCGGGUGUGAGAGCAUGGCCCGGCUCACUGGGACUGAGACACUGCCCAGACACCUACGGGUGGCUGCAGUCGAGAAUCUUCGGCAAUGGGCGCAAGCCUGACCGAGCGACGCCGCGUGCGGGAUGAAGGCCCUCGGGUUGUAAACCGCUGUCAGUUGGGAGGAAAUACUAGGGGGUUAUCCCUUUAGUUUGACCGAUCUUCAGAGGAAGGACGGGCUAAGUUCGUGCCAGCAGCCGCGGUAAGACGAACCGUCCAAACGUUAUUCGGUAUCACUGGGCUUAAAGCGUUCGUAGGCGGCCUGGAAGGUGAGAUGUGAAAGCCCUCGGCUCAACCGAGGAAUUGCGUUUCAAACCACCAGGCUUGAGGGAGACAGGGGUGAUGGGAACUGUUGGUGGAGAGGUGAAAUGCGUUGAUAUCAACAGGAACACCGGUGGCGAAAGCGCAUCACUGGGUCUCUUCUGACGCUGAGGAACGAAAGCUAGGGGAGCGAACGGGAUUAGAUACCCCGGUAGUCCUAGCCGUAAACGAUGAGCACUGGGUUGGGGGGAACUUUCACAUUCUCCCGGCCGUAGCGAAAGCGUUAAGUGCUCCGCCUGGGGAGUAUGGUCGCAAGGCUGAAACUCAAGGAAUUGACGGGGGGCUCACACAAGCGGGUGGAGGAUGUGGGCUUAUUUCGAGGCUACGCGAAAGAACCCUUAUCCUAGAUUUGACAUGC
rnacentral:rRNA from 1 species